CUUGUGAUGAUAACUUAUUUCCUGUCAAAGAUGUCCCUGAGGAUCUUCUACCAAAACAAAGAUAGUGACCAGAGGGCUAGGGUUUCAUUGAAGAGAAUUUCCAAGGCUGCAGUUUAAAGUAGUUGAAUGCCAAAAUCAGGCUGCUUUAAUGUUUUAAUUUCAAAUACCACCAAUUGACUGCUUCUAACUACACAGAAAGGUUAGCUUCUAACAGAGACUGCCACUGCCAACAACAAGUGUUGAAACCCUGAAGUCAAGGUCUUACUGGUGGUUAAAACUUCAAAG